rnacentral:rRNA from 1 species
GCUCACUGAAUUAUUUUAAAGAGCUGCAGUAAUUUGACUGUACUAAGGUAGCAUAAUCAAUAGCUUUUUAAUUAAAGGCUUGUAUGAAAGGUUAAACAAAAUAUUAUCUGUCUUAAUAGUUAUAGUUAGAAAUUAAUUUUUUAGUGAAAAAGCUAAAAUGAAUUUAAGGGACGAGAAGACCCUAUAGAGUUUAAUUUAUAUAUAAAAUGAAUAUAAAUUUGUUAAAUUAAAUAGUUUUUUAUAUAAAUUUAGUUGGGGAGAUUAGUAGAUAAUAAAAACUCUAUUAUUUUUAUUAUAAUUUAAUUAAAGUAUUUUUGAUUUUGUAAUAUAUAUGUAAGAUUAAAUUACCUUAGGGAUAACAGCGUAAUUAUUUUUGAGAGUUCUUAUUGACAAAAUAGUUUGCGACCUCGAUGUUGGAUUAAAAUUAAAAUUUAAUAUGAAGCAGUAUAAACAUUUAAGUCUGUUCGACUUAUAAUUUUUUACAUGAUCUGAGUUCAAAUCGGCGUGAGCCAGGUUG